CGGAGGGCGCGAGCGUUGUUCGGAAUUAUUGGGCGUAAAGCGCACGUAGGCGGCUUUGUAAGUCUCACUGUGAAAGCCCGGGGCUCAACCCCGGGAGGCCAGGGGAUACUGCGAGGCUGGAGACAAGCAGAGGUCGGUAGAAUUCCGGGUGUAGCGGUGGAAUGCGUAGAGAUCCGGAGGAAUACCAGAGGCGAAGGCGGCCGACUGGGCUUGUUCUGACGCUGAGGUGCGAAAGCGUGGGGAGCGAACAGGAUUAGAUACCCUGGUAGUCCACGCCGUAAACGAUGGGCACUAGAUGCCGGUGGGAUCGACCCCUUCGGUGUCGCAGCUAACGCAUUAAGUGCCCCGCCUGGGGAGUACGGCCGCAAGGCUG
rnacentral:rRNA from 1 species